GCAUAUAAAUAAUAAUAGCUAAGUUGGUCAGACCGUGGUGCUGGUAAUGCCAAGGUUGCAGGUUUGAUCCCCGCAUGGGACAGCUGCA